rnacentral:rRNA from 1 species
GUGAGGAAUAUUGGUCAAUGGGCGAGAGUCUGAACCAGCCAAGUCGCGUGAAGGAAGACGGUUCUAUGAAUUGUAAACUUCUUUUGUGCAGGAAUAAAGUGGGUUACGUGUAACCUUUUGUAUGUACUGUACGAAUAAGGAUCGGCUAACUCCGUGCCAGCAGCCGCGGUAAUACGGAGGAUCCGAGCGUUAUCCGGAUUUAUUGGGUUUAAAGGGUGCGUAGGUGGAUUGAUAAGUCAGCGGUGAAAGUUUGCAGCUUAACUGUAAAAUUGCCGUUGAAACUGUCGGUCUUGAGUGCAAAUGAGGUAGGCGGAAUGUGUUGUGUAGCGGUGAAAUGCUUAGAUAUAACACAGAACUCCGAUUGCGAAGGCAGCUUACUGGGAUGCAACUGACACUGAUGCACGAAAGCGUGGGUAUCAAACAGGAUUAGAUACCCCUGUAGUCC